rnacentral:rRNA from 1 species
GACGAACGCUGGCGGCGUGCCUAAUACAUGCAAGUAGAACGCACAGUUUAUACCGUAGCUUGCUCCACCAUAGACUGUGAGUUGCGAACGGGUGAGUAACGCGUAGGUAACCUGCCUGGUAGCGGGGGAUAACUAUUGGAAACGAUAGCUAAUACCGCAUAAUAUUAAUUAUUGCAUGAUAAUUAAUUGAAAGGUGCAAUUGCACCACUACCAGAUGGACCUGCGUUGUAUUAGCUAGUAGGCGAGGUAACGGCUCACCUAGGCGACGAUACAUAGCCGACCUGAGAGGGUGAUCGGCCACACUGGGACUGAGACACGGCCCAGACUCCUACGGGAGGCAGCAGUAGGGAAUCUUCGGCAAUAGACGAAAGUCUGACCGAGCAACGCCGCGUGAGUGAAGAAGGUUGUCGGAUCGUAAAGCUCUGUUGUAAGAGAAGAACGGGUGUGAGAGUGGAAAGUUCACACUGUGACGGUAUCUUACCAGAAAGGGACGGCUAACUACGUG